GCAGUGGUGGUUCAGUGGUGGAAUUCUCACCUUCAGUGUGGGAGACCCCAGGUUCGAUUCCUGGCCAGUGUA
rnacentral:tRNA from 1 species